UACGGAGGGUGCAAACGUUGCUCGGAAUCAUUGGGCGUAAAGCGUGCGCAGGCGGUUUUGUAAGUCUGUCGUGAAAGCCCCGGGCUCAACCUGGGAAUUGCGAUGGAGACUGCAAGGCUUGAAUCUGGCAGAGGGGGGUAGAAUUCCACGUGUAGCAGUGAAAUGCGUAGAGAUGUGGAGGAACACCGAUGGCGAAGGCAGCCCCCUGGGUCAAGAUUGACGCUCAUGCACGAAAGCGUGGGGAGCAAACAGG
rnacentral:rRNA from 1 species